rnacentral:misc_RNA from 1 species
GAUGAAGAACGCAGUGAAAUGCGAUAAGUAAUGUGAAUUGCAGAAUUCAGUGAAUCAUCGAAUCUUUGAACGCACAUUGCGCCCGCCAGUAUUCUGGCGGGCAUGCCUGUUCGAGCGUCAUUACAACCAUCAGGCCCCCGGGCCUGGCGUUGGGGAUCGGCGGAGCCCCCCGUGGGCACACGCCGUCCCCCAAAUGCAGUGGCGGUCCCGCCGCAGCUUCCAUCGCGUAGUAGCUAACACCUCGCGACUGGAGAGCGGCGCGGCCACGCCGUAAAACACCCAACUCUUCUGAAGUUGACCUCGAAUCAGGUAGGAAUACCCGCUGAACUUAAGCAUAUCAAUAAGCGGAGGA